AUCAAUUAUGAUCAAGGGCUUCACAGGAGAAGGGGUAGUUUAUAGAACAAUAAUGAGGACAGAUGUUUGGUAACUAGUUGUUUGCCCUGCCAUGUAGAUGGGUCACUCAGAUAAAAUAUAUUUUUGCUAAUAAUUCAGAUUGUGGGGAAGACCCCCAAUUUAAAUUCUCCUUGGUAGUUAAGGGAGGGGCAGAAGUUUCUCUUGAUCCGCAGGGUCUUCAUUGCCUUUUAGCUCAAAACAAUCCACGUGUCAAAGUGGCACAUUUUAGGGAGGCUCAUUCUGAACCCCUUCCGUCCCACCUUUGAAACCUCUCUGAGAAGUCUCACAGUCCAGAAGUUGAGUUGGUAGGUUACUUCACCUCACUCAGUCUCUUAGUCCUGACAGUAAGUCAGUUCAGUUAAACAAUUGCGUCUCAUUUCAGGCCCUGGAGAAGGGCAUGGCAACCCACUCCAAUAUUCUUGCCUGGGAAACCCCAUGGACAGAGGAGCCUUGCAAGUUACAGUCCGUGGGGUCACAGAGUUGGACAUGCUGAGUGACUAACACUUUGACUUUUCAAAGUCAGUCUUAGUUCCUUAAAUCUGUUUGGUCACUAUUUGAGUCAGUCUAUGGACAUUCUUAAACAUGACAUUCCAGCCAAAACCUUGGCAGUAUGACCAAUGUUUCCAGUUAUAUCCUGUUAUAAGUAGAUCAUAUUCCUUUUGAAUUUAUGCAGAUAAGUUUACUGCUAAGAAAAUAAGAAUAUUCAGAGUUUCCAAAUUCUGGAAGGAUCAGAUAGGGAGAAAGAAAGAAAUGAUUCAGUUCUCUUACAAAGGUAUAAUUUACCAAAUCUUUAAGUCAUAGUGAACUUAAGAGGAAAGGUUUUUUUUUAUAUCUGGAAAACAAAAUGUUAGAAAACCAGCAUGAGAAGUCUAAAAAUUAUGGUCAUCCAGACUGGCUGAAUGGAUACAAAAACAAGACCCCUAUAUAUGCUGUCUACAAGAGACCCACCUCAAAACAAGGGACACAUACAGACAAAAAUUCAAGGGCUGGAAAAAAAUAUUUCACGCAA